UACAGAGGGGGCAAGCGUUGUUCGGAAUUACUGGGCGUAAAGGGCGCGUAGGCGGCCUUCUAAGUCGAACGUGAAAUCCCCGGGCUCAACCCGGGAACUGCGUCCGAUACUGGAAGGCUUGAAUCCGGGAGAGGGAUGCGGAAUUCCAGGUGUAGCGGUGAAAUGCGUAGAUAUCAGGAGGAACACCGGCGGUGUAGACGGCUUGCUAGACCACCCCUGACGCUGAGGCACGAAA
rnacentral:rRNA from 1 species